rnacentral:lncRNA from 1 species
CAGCAACAUGAAGUUGGCAGCCUUCCUCCUCCUUGUGAUCCUCAUCAUCUUCAGCCUAGAAUUACAAGAGCUUCAGGCUGCAGUGAGACCGUUGCAGCUUUUGGGUACCUGCGUCGAGCUCUGCACAGGUGACUGGGACUGCAACCCCGGAGACCACUGUGUCAGCAAUGGGUGUGGCCAUGAGUGUGCUGCAGAGUAAGGACAGGUAAAAACACCAGGCCCUCCCUGCUUUCCCAAACAUUGUUCAGUCUAGAUGAAGAGUUAUCUUAAGGAUCAUCUUUCUCUAAGAUCGUCAUCCCUUUCUGGAGUUCCUAUCUUCCAAGAUGUGACUGUCUGGAGUUCCUUGACUAGGAAGAUGGAUGAAAACAGCAAGCCUGUGGAUGGAGACUAUAGGGGAUAUGGGAGGCAGGGAAGAGGGGUUGUUUCUUUUAAUAAAGCAUCAUUGUUAAAAGCA